AUUAAAGUUUGAAAUAAAACCAUGUUUAAUUUCCUGUUUAUCACUUUACACAUGACAUGAAACUAGAAAGUGGUUAGGAUAAAAUCUAGAAAAACUCAUUGUAUGAUGUCACUCAGUCAGCUGGUUGGCAAAGUAUACACUGACAAACUUAUCACUAAACGCAUAAGUUAGAAUCGUAUUGUUACCUCCCUUUACGCACAUUUGAUGAAAUACGAUUUUUAUGAAUAUCCCCAGACCAAAAAAUUCCAAGUCAGGUUUUUAAGCCCAGCUUUAGAUUGUAUUGAAAGGCUGGCUGGUCGUGUGGUACGUACAUUUGUAACUUUAAACUCAUGUGAUGGUACUGAGUUUGAGCCCUACCGACCGCCACCCCCCAGUGUACUACAGAAGGUUCUGCCAAGGAUGUUAAGAUCUUCAAAUCUGAAGGAGCAUCCAAAUCAUGUCAAGCAAAACUAAACUAUGUGUAAAGUUGGAUAACUUCAUGUUACAUUCAAUUUAUUUAUUUAAAUCACAUUAAGUAUCUAAUAUAAUGGUUUGGACCUAUCAGAACAAUUUAGAGUUUAUUUACAAGAAUAGCAAUUUAAGCCUAAUUCUUAAACCACAAUGGUUGUCAAAAAAAGUACAUAUAUUAUUAAGACAUUUCACAAACCCAAAACUAGUGUACAGAUGGAAGUUCCUAAUAACAAAUUUUUUUUUAACUCUUAGAAUUACAAUAAAGAGAGUAGUAGCUAGACACAUUUACAGACACAAAAAUUUUUUUUUUUAUUGGAUAGGUUUUCAGUUCAUGCUGAUACUGUAUCAACACUUAACAGCUUUCUACAGCCUACUGGGUGAUCUCAACUAAUUGGGUCAUAGAGAGUAUGAACAUUGACAUGCUAGAGACUCUCAGUGGUUUGAAACACUUUACUCAAAUUUCUGAAUCCUUAGCUUUUAUCAUUGUUUCUACACUAGUGAUGACAAGCUAAAAGUAGCACCCCCCCCCCCACCCCCCC